rnacentral:lncRNA from 1 species
GACAGGAGCUCAUCCAGCAGUGCCACUAAAAUCCCUUGGCAUACCGUCUGUCAAGCAACCAAAAUGUCCCUGUCACUCUUCUAUUUGGUGAGAGUGAAGGAAUAAGCCAAGGCAGUCAUGUUUCUGAUUCCUUUGUUUCACUUCUCCAUCCUCAGGGUGUGAGGUUCUUGAACAGUGGAGCCAACGGACAGUUCCAGAGUGGAGCAUCGGAGUCAUAUGAGAAUUGAGAACCUCUGAAAGUCAGUCAGUGAUCCCCCCAUGGCCAACUGGUGUUAGUUUUGAGCACAACCUAAAGCUUGAGGAGGGACUGCAGGAGAAACAAGGCAACUGAAAAUGGAGUUGAUGCAGAAGGACUCCAAGCUUGUAAAAAGUCACCAUCAUUAUCCCUGGGUUGGGCGUUUCCUUUCUUCUUUUGCUUUGAUGUUUUUGGAGACAGAUUCCCUGUACUGUUCCAACAGGAACUGUUUGUGGAUUGUGAACUAGUACUGAAGUUUACCAUACUGCUCUGGAACCAUACUGCCUGGAUUAAGUCCCAGCCCUGCCAUUUACCAGCUCUGUGACUUUGGGAAAGUUUCAAGAUCUUUCCUGAUCUCAUUUUCUUCUUCUGGAAAACAUGAACAAUAGCAAUAUCAGCCUAAUCAUGUUGUGAUGAUUAAAUGGAAUAAGACACACUGAGCAUUAAUAAAAUUCCUGGCUUCUUAUAAGUGAUAAUUUCCUAGGUAACUUCGUCUGAGCACCUACCACAUGCUAACAUAUUCCUUUUGUCAGUGUUU